rnacentral:rRNA from 1 species
GAUGAACGCUAGCGGCAGGCCUAAUACAUGCAAGUCGAACGGGAUCCAGAUCAAAGCUUGCUUUGGUCUGGUGAGAGUGGCGCACGGGUGCGUAACGCGUGAGCAACCUACCCUUGUCAGGGGGAUAGCCCGGCGAAAGUCGGAUUAAUACCGCAUGACAUCAUUGAGAGGCAUCUUUCGAUGAUCAAAGAUUUAUCGGACAAGGAUGGGCUCGCGUGACAUUAGCUAGUUGGUAAGGUAACGGCUUACCAAGGCUGCGAUGUCUAGGGGCUCUAAGAGGAGAAUCCCCCACACUGGUACUGAGACACGGACCAGACUCCUACGGGAGGCAGCAGUAAGGAAUAUUGGUCAAUGGACGGAAGUCUGAACCAGCCAUGCCGCGUGCAGGAGGACGGCCCUAUGGGUUGUAAACUGCUUUUAUACGGGAACAAACGUCGGUACGGGUACCGGUCUGAGUGUACCGUAAGAAUAAGGAUCGGCUAACUCCGUG